GAUGAAGAACGUAGCGAAAUGCGAUAACUAAUGUGAAUUGCAGAAUUCAGUGAAUCAUCGAGUCUUUGAACGCACAUUGCGCCCCCUGGUAUUCCGGGGGGCAUGUCUGUCCGAGCGUCAUUGCUGCCCUCAAGCACGGCUUGUGUGUUGGGCUCCGUCCCCCCGGGGACGGGCCCGAAAGGCAGCGGCGGCACCGAGUCCGGUCCUCGAGCGUAUGGGGCUUUGUCACCCGCUCUGUAGGCCCGGCCGGCGCCAGCCGACAACCCAUCAUCCUUUUCAGGUUGACCUCGGAUCAGGUAGGGAUACCCGCUGAACUUAAGCAUAUCAAUAAGCGGAGGA
rnacentral:misc_RNA from 1 species